rnacentral:pre_miRNA from 1 species
GGAAACUUGGAAACUACCGUUGGUUUAAAAAAUAUACGUCUGAUAUUCGUCCACGUCACCACGAGUAAAAAUUUUACUCAUGAAUGAAUCUGCGAGUAAAACUUUUACCUGUGGUAACAUGGAUGAAUCUUAAACGUUCAUUUUUCGAUCCAACAGUAAUUUCCAGAUUUUC